UCUGUUUUUGCUAGCAAUAUUCAUAAAAACAUUAACAAAUAUAUUUACACGGACCCCUGCGUACCUAGGGUUCCCCCUGCUGUACAGCACCCCCAUGUAGUUCAUAUGGAAUCCACAAGAGGUCCCUACCUCACAGGUUAGGAUCCACUAUUCCAGGACCUAGGGUCCAUUUCAGUGGUUUUAAGUAGCUUCCUCUCCCAUUCUUCUGCUUUGGUCUAAGAACACAAGACGGAUGAAUGCAAUAUGCCUAAUGGGAGUGUUCUUUCACCUGUCCUACCUGGCUGUUAAGGUGCAGCAGGAAUGCAAUGAGGAGGUGAUUUAUGAAAACUGUCUAGCAACGGAUGCUGAACAACACUGUCAACAUGGACACACAACACUGAGAGAAAAGGAGGCAGAGUAAACUGGAGGAGAACAGAAAGGGCGACUGAGGGGUGGAGGUGUGGGUGAGAGAAUGCACAGCACUUCUAUUUCAGGCAUUGACCACCUGAUAACAACAGCGCCGAGGUGAUGGAAAUAUAUGGACGUCAUUUGUACCAGAGCAUGAGCAACAGAUACACCUCUGUACUAUAUAGCCAGAAGGUGGUGCUCAGGGUUAAGGGCUGGUGAGCCUGUUGUGGGCUAGGAUUUGCAGAGAAGAUGGAAAGCUAAAGCAUGUUUACAGAAAAACAACAAGGCCAUUGGAUGUUAUCCAUGGAUCAAAUGCAAUAUAUCUCAGAAAUUCACACGUUGUUUCUAGAUAGCAGCGGCGUCCCUGCUUUAUUUUUUGAUUCAGAAGAACAUUAAAAUAAUCUAUCCACCCAGUUGAUAUGUGUCCAGGCCCUGAAAUAGAUAUAAAGCAAUAAGAAGGCUUGGUUGUUGGGUGUAAGAAACUAUAUCUACAUAGUAACAGCAACAACAACAACAAAAAUGUCCUCAUGAAAAUCAUGUCUAUAAUGAAUAACAGCAUUAGUGAAGGAGAACUACAGUAAUGUGUACAUAUAUAGAGAAACAUGCAUACUGCAGAAUGACAACUCAAGGCCAGUGGUCACACCAUGAUGGGAGAAAGAAGAAGAUGUAGAGACGCCUGGGGAAGAGUUAGUGCAUGUGUCAAACUGUUAAAUAAACGCUGUUUGUGAAUACACGUGCAAAUAGAAAAUUGUUACAUUUCCUGCACUUGGUAAAUAGAUCACCAUUAAAUAAAAACAUAAACUCUUA